CCCCAUAGGGUGUGGUUAUGCAUGCUGGGUUUUGGUCUCAGAGGAGGUUGGGUGUCUGUGGGGG
rnacentral:tRNA from 1 species